GACAGAGGAUGCAAGCGUUAUCCGGAAUGAUUGGGCGUAAAGCGUCUGUAGGUGGCUUUUCAAGUCCGCCGUCAAAUCCCAGGGCUCAACCCUGGACAGGCGGUGGAAACUACCAAGCUGGAGUACGGUAGGGGCAGAGGGAAUUUCCGGUGGAGCGGUGAAAUGCGUAGAGCUCGGGAAGAACAUCGGUGGCGAAAGCGCUCUGCUGGACUGCAACUGACACUCAGGGACGAAAGCUAGGGGAGCGAAUGGG
rnacentral:rRNA from 1 species